rnacentral:rRNA from 1 species
UAGGGAAUAUUGGACAAUGGGGGCAACCCUGAUCCAGCCAUGCCGCGUGAGUGAUGAAGGCCUUCGGGUUGUAAAGCUCUUUUGGCGGGGACGAUGAUGACGGUACCCGCAGAAUAAGCCCCGGCUAACUUCGUGCCAGCAGCCGCGGUAAGACGAAGGGGGCUAGCGUUGUUCGGAAUUACUGGGCGUAAAGCGCACGUAGGCGGCAUUCUAAGUCGGAUGUGAAAUCCCUCGGCUCAACCGAGGACGUGCAUCCGAAACUGGAACGCUCGAGUAUGGAAGAGGGUCGCGGAAUUCUCGGUGUAGAGGUGAAAUUCGUAGAUAUCGGGAGGAACACCAGUGGCGAAGGCGGCGACCUGGGCCAAUACUGACGCUGAGGUGCGAAAGCGUGGGGAGCAAA